rnacentral:rRNA from 1 species
CCUACGGGCGGCAGCAGUGGGGGAUAUUGCACAAUGGGCGGAACCCUGAUGCAGCGACGCCGCGUGGGUGAAGGAGUGCUUCGGCAUGUAAAGCCCUAUUGGCAGGGAAGAAGAAAGACGGUACCUGACUAAGAAGCCCCGGCUAACUACGUGCCAGCAGCCGCGGUAAUACGUAGGGGGCGAGCGUUAUCCGGAUUCACUGGGGUUAAAGGGAGCGUAGACGGCCAUGGAAGCCAGGGGUGAAAGCCCGGGGCCCAACCCCGGGACUGCCGUUGAAACUGCAUGGCUAGAGUGCGGGAGCGGCAGGCGGAAUGCCUGGUGUAGCGGUGAAAUGCGUAGAGAUCAGGAGGAACACCGACUGCGAAGGCAGCCU